rnacentral:rRNA from 1 species
UAAGGAAUAUUGGUCAAUGGACGCAAGUCUGAACCAGCCAUGCCGCGUGAAGGAUGAAGGUCCUCUGGAUUGUAAACUUCUUUUAUCUGGGACGAAAACGGGAUUUUUAUCUCAAUUGACGGUACCAGAGGAAUAAGCACCGGCUAACUCCGUGCCAGCAGCCGCGGUAAUACGGAGGGUGCGAGCGUUAUCCGGAUUUACUGGGUUUAAAGGGUGCGUAGGUGGGCUUAUAAGUCAGUGGUGAAAUCUCCGAGCUUAACUUGGAAACUGCCGUUGAUACUAUAGGUCUUGAAUUAUCUGGAGGUAAGCGGAAUAUGUCAUGUAGCGGUGAAAUGCUUAGAUAUGACAUAGAACACCAAUUGCGAAGGCAGCUACUACAUAUAAAUUGACGCUGAGGCACGAAAGCGUGGGGAUCAAACA